AACGAACGCUGGCGGCGUGGAUAAGACAUGCAAGUCGAACGAGACUUUUCGUUGUAGCAAUACGAUGGAAAGUUUAGUGGCGAACGGGUGCUUAACACGUGGGCAACCUGCCAUGAAGUGGGGGAUAGCUCGCCGAAAGGCGAAUUAAUACCGCAUGUGAUUAGAGAGGACAUCCUUUCGAAAUUAAAGUCGGGGCAACCUGACGCUUCUUGUGGGGCCCGCGGCCUAUCAGCUAGUUGGUGAGGUAACGGCUCACCAAGGCUUUGACGGGUAGCUGGUCUGAGAGGACGACCAGCCACACUGGGACUGAGACACGGCCCAGACACCUACGGGUGGCAGCAGUCGAGAAUUUUUGACAAUGGGGGAAACCCUGAUCGAGCGACGCCGCGUGGAGGAUGAAGGUCUUCGGAUUGUAAACUCCUGUCAUUGGGGAACAAGGUGCAUACGUUAACUGCGUGUGUAUUGAUAGUACCCGAAGAGGAAGAGACGGCUAACUCUGUGC
rnacentral:rRNA from 1 species